GGGAAUGUAGCUUAGUGGUAGAGUGCUUGCCUAGAAUGCAUGAGGCCCUGGGUUCAAUUCCUCAGUACCA
rnacentral:tRNA from 1 species